UAGGAAAGCUUGCUUUUCUGAUGACGACCGGCGCACGGGUGCGUAACGCGUAUACAACCUACCUUUUAGCGGGGAAUAGCCCAGGGAAACUUGGAUUAAUGCCCCAUAGUAUGGAGAUCUCUCCUGAGAUUUUCAUUAAACAUUUAUGGCUAUUAGAUGGGUAUGCGUCCUAUUAGUUAGUUGGUAAGGUAACGGCUUACCAAGGCAGCGAUAGGUAGGGGUCCUGAGAGGGAGAUCCCCCACACUGGUACUGAGACACGGACCAGACUCCUACGGGAGGCAGCAGUGAGGAAUAUUGGACAAUGGGCGAGAGCCUGAUCCAGCCAUGCCGCGUGCAGGAAGACUGCCCUAUGGGUUGUAAACUGCUUUUACAGAGGAAGAACCACCCCCACGUGUGGGGGUUUGACGGUACUCUGCGAAUAAGGAUCGGCUAACUCCGUGCCAGCAGCCGCGGUAAUACGGAGGAUCCAAGCGUUAUCCGGAAUCAUUGGGUUUAAAGGGUCCGUAGGCGGGCAGUUAAGUCAGUGGUGAAAGUCUUCCGCUCAACGGGAGAACUGCCAUUGAUACUGAUUGUCUUGAGUUAUUAUGAAGUGGUUAGAAUGAGUAGUGUAGCGGUGAAAUGCAUAGAUAUUACUCAGAAUACCGAUUGCGAAGGCAGAUCACUAAUAAUAUACUGACGCUGAUGGACGAAAGCGUAGGUAGCGAACAGGAUUAGAUACCCUGGUAGUCUACGCCGUAAACGAUGGUUACUAGCUGUUCGGAUCGAUUGAGAUCUGAGUGGUUAAGCGAAAGUGAUAAGUAACCCACCUGGGGAGUACGUUCGCAAGAAUGAAACUCAAAGGAAUUGACGGGGGCCCGCACAAGCGGUGGAGCAUGUGGUUUAAUUCGAUGAUACGCGAGGAACCUUACCAGGGCUUAAAUGUAGUCUGACAGGGGUGGAAACACUCUUUUCUUCGGACAGAUUACAAGGUGCUGCAUGGUUGUCGUCAGCUCGUGCCGUGAGGUGUCAGGUUAAGUCCUAUAACGAGCGCAACCCCUGUGGUUAGUUGCCAGCGAGUAAUGUCGGGAACUCUAGCCAGACUGCCGGUGCAAACCGCGAGGAAGGUGGGGAUGACGUCAAAUCAUCACGGCCCUUACGUCCUGGGCCACACACGUGCUACAAUGGUAGGGACAGAGAGCAGCCACUUCGCGAGAAGGAGCGAAUCUACAAACCCUAUCACAGUUCGGAUCGCAGUCUGCAACUCGACUGCGUGAAGCUGGAAUCGCUAGUAAUCGCAUAUCAGCCAUGAUGCGGUGAAUACGUUCCCGGGCCUUGUACACACCGCCCGUCAAGCCAUGGAAGCCGGGGGUACCUGAAGUC
rnacentral:rRNA from 1 species